rnacentral:rRNA from 1 species
GAUCAUGGCUCAAGACGAACGCUGGCGGCAGGCUUAACACAUGCAAGUCGAAACGCUCGUAGCAAUACGGGAGUGGCGUCGGGUGAGUAACGCGUGGGAACGUGCCCUGAGGUACGGAAUAACUGAGGGAAACUUCAGCUAAUACCGUAUGAGCCCGAGAGGGGGAAAGAUUUAUCGCCUUGGGAGCGGCCCGCGUCGGAUUAGCUAGUUGGUGGGGUAACGGCCUACCAAGGCUUCGAUCCGUAGCUGGUCUGAGAGGACGAUCAGCCACACUGGGACUGAGACACGGCCCAGACUCCUACGGGAGGCAGCAGUGGGGAAUCUUGCGCAAUGGGGGCAACCCUGACGCAGCCAUGCCGCGUGAACGAUGAAGGCCUUAGGGUUGUAAAGUUCUUUUACCCGUGACGAUGAUGACGGUAACGGGGGAAUAAGCUCCGGCUAACUUCGUG